rnacentral:tRNA from 1 species
GUCCCCAUCGUCUAGAGGCCUAGGACAUCACCCUUUCACUGUGGCGACCGGGGUUCGAAUCCCCGUGGGGACGCCA